GAUGAACGCUGGCGGCGUGCCUAAUACAUGCAAGUAGAACGCUGAAGGAGGAGCUUGCUCUUCUGGAUGAGUUGCGAACGGGUGAGUAACGCGUAGGUAACCUGCCUGGUAGCGGGGGAUAACUAUUGGAAACGAUAGCUAAUACCGCAUGACAACAGUUAUUGCAUGAUAACUGUUUAAAAGGGGCAACUGCUCCACUACCAGAUGGACCUGCGUUGUAUUAGCUAGUUGGUGAGGUAACGGCUCACCAAGGCGACGAUACAUAGCCGACCUGAGAGGGGGAUCGGCCACACUGGGACUGAGACACGGCCCAGACUCCUACGGGAGGCAGCAGUAGGGAAUCUUCGGAAAUGGACGGAAGUCUGACCGAGCAACGCCGCGGGAGUGAAGAAGGGUUUCGGAUCGUAAAGCUCUGUUGUAAGAGAAGAAAGAGUGUGAGAGUGGAAAGUUCACACUGUGACGGUAUCUUACCAGAAAGGGACGGCUAACUACGUG
rnacentral:rRNA from 1 species